UACGGAAGGCAGCAGUGGGGGAAUAUUGGACAAUGGGCGAAAGCCUGAUCCAGCCAUGCCGCAUGAGUGAAGAAGGCCUUCGGGUUGUAAAGCUCUUUUAGUGAGAAAGAUAAUGACGGUACUCACAGAAGAAGUCCUGGCUAACUCCGUGCCAGCAGCCGCGGUAAUACGGAGAGGGCUAGCGUUAUUCGGAAUUAUUGGGCGUAAAGAGCGCGUAGGCUGAUUAGUAAGUUAAAAGUGAAAUCCCAAAGCUUAACUUUGGAAUUGCUUUUUAAAACUGCUAGUCUAGAGAUUGAAAGAGGAUAGAGGAAUUCCUAGUGUAGAGGUGAAAUUCGUAAAUAUUAGGAGGAACACCAGUGGCGAAGGCGUCUAUCUGGUUCAAAUCUGACGCUGAGGCGCGAAGGGCGUGGGGAGCAAACAGGGAUUAGAUACC
rnacentral:rRNA from 1 species